UGGGGGAUAUUGCACAAUGGGGGAAACCCUGAUGCAGCGACGCCGCGUGUAGGAAGACGGUCCUCUGGAUUGUAAACUACUGUCUUCAGGGACGAUAAUGACGGUACCUGAGGAGGAAGCCACGGCUAACUACGUGCCAGCAGCCGCGGUAAUACGUAGGUGGCGAGCGUUGUCCGGAAUUACUGGGUGUAAAGGGAGCGUAGGCGGGAGGAUAAGUUGGAUGUUUAAUCUAUGGGCUCAACUCAUAAUCGCAUUCAAAACUGUUCUUCUUGAGUGAAGUAGAGGCAGGCGGAAUUCCUAGUGUAGCGGUGAAAUGCGUAGAUAUUAGGAGGAACACCAGUGGCGAAGGCGGCCUGCUGGGCUUUUACUGACGCUGAGGCUCGAAAGUGUGGGGAGCAAACAGG
rnacentral:rRNA from 1 species